rnacentral:lncRNA from 1 species
UUCUGCACAGUCCACGGAAUUCUUAGUACUUUUAGUGAGCUGGAGCUGAUCUGUGAUCCCUGAGAUCGCUGCAGAUAGAAGCAAAGAGUGUCAACCAGGCCCCUAAAGCCCAAUAAAUCAAAAUAAAUGCAAGAGAUGCUUGUGCUUACCAGACCUGGGUAGUGACCUGCAAACCACACUGCGAGCCCCAGCUUCUCUCCCAAAUUCCACCUUUGCUUCCAGGAAUUGCCCCAUGUGUGUAUUCAGACUCAGCGAGCCAACUCUGAAUUCUUGCAUAUUUCUACAGAUGGCACUGCCAUUCUCUAUUCUCCCAGCCACGUCUUAGUGUCACUAUUCACCUCAUUUGACUGCCAUAAGGCUCAAUAAUUAGUUGUACGCAACUAAUUGGUCCAGUUUCUAAAUCUCCUCAAUCCUGUCUCAUUGUCUAAUUUAAAAAAAAUUUUUUAGAGAUAGGGUCUCACUAUGUUGCCUAGGCUGGAUUUAAACUCCUAGUCUAAGCAAUCCUCUUGCCUCAACCUCCUGAGUAGCUAGGACUACAUAUGAACGCCACUGUGGCUGGCUUCAUCAUCUAUUUUUAAAAAUACCUACCUUUGGUGAGACGCGGUGGCUCACACCUGUAAUCCCAGGACUUUGGGAGGCCAAGGCGGGCGGAUCACAAUGUCAGGAGAUGGAGACCAUCCUGGCUAACAUGAUGAAACCCCAUCUCUACUAAAAAUACAAAAAAUUAGCUGGGCGUGGUGGCAGGCGCCUGUAGUCCCAGCUACUCGGAAGGCUGAGGCAGGAGAAUGGUGUGAACCCGGGAGGCGGAGUUUGCAAGUAAGCUGAGAUUGCACCACUGCACUCCAGCCUGAGCGAUAGAAUGAGACUCCGUCUCAAAAAUAAAUAAAUAAAUAAAAUACCUACCUUUGGCCAGGUGUGGUGUCUCAUGCCUGUAAUACCAAGAUUUGGGGAAGGGGGUGGCCAAUGUGGGAGGAUUGCUUGAACCCAGGAAUUCGAGACCCACCUGUGCAACAGAGUAAGACCCCAUCUCUACAAAAAAACGUUUUUUUUAAUUAGCUGGGCGUGGCAUACCUGUAGUCCCAUCUACUCGGGAAGCUGAGGUGGGAGGAUCGCUUGAGCCUGGGAGGUUGAGGCUGCAGGGAGCUGUGAUCUCACCACUACACUCCAGAGUUCGAACUUUAUUUGAGAAAUGAAGAGGAGGAAAGAUUAUUAACUUUUUAAGGCACUUACUGUGUGUUAGCUCUAUUAGGCAUUUGCACUGAAGGUUAGAUCUAACAUAGCCUUCCCACCAAGCUUUGUAAUUACAACUCCUGUUAUUCUACUUGUAUCUUACUCCAGGUAAACUGGCCUGGCCAUAUAUUUCUUUUUUAGCUGCCUUUCAUCCUAGUCAAUAGGCCACACUUUCUUACUUGCACAAGCCUGCAUUCUCUCCCCACUGCAUAUCUUCAAUUAUAUUCUUCUCUCUCUCCAUCAUCUCCCAACCCCAUCACCAGGGUAGGUGCAGUGCUACACAUCUUUUAAGGUCCAUUGCUGGUAUUCUGGUACAUAUUUAAUAACCAGCUCUCUGGGCAGGUAAAACUCUGAUUUGUAGUGUUUGUCCAUUUUUCUUUUGGUUUGCCACAGCCAAUUUCGAGCUACCAGUCUGAUAUCAACUGGAUGACAAAAUUUCUGAAAAAAUUAGCUAUCAUUUCUCAAAGACUAGUAUGAGCUGGCUCUAGCACAUCACUGAGCCUCAAACGUCACUGGUCUUGACAUCUCCAAUCUAUAGUAUACUUUCCCUGCUUUGAACUUUGUUAGUAACUUACAUUCUCUCACGAAAAGUAUUCUGCAUUAUAUUAUAGUUAUAAUGAACCCUGAUUAUCAUCCCAUCUUAGAUUAUUAACUUUUCAAGUGCAUGACCCAUCUUACUCAUCUAUGUAUUCACAGUGAUGCCUAGAACAAUAAUGGUGUUCAAUAAAUAUUUGCUGUAUUAGACAGAUGAUGAAGAUUAUCACCAGGGCUUGACUCAGUUGUGGUGAGGAUACAAUGACAUCAUGUAUGUAAAGCACUUUCCAGAGUGCUUGGCCCUGCAAGUGCUUAAUUAGUAACAGCUAAUUUUACUAUUGGCUGUGGCUUCUGGAAUUCAGAGAGCACAAGUAACAUCAAUUCUUAACAACUCCUCUCUCCCCAACAGACACACACAUUAGUCACUUGGGCAACAUUUACAAACCGCAAUGCCCAGGCCAAUAUAUUUUUAAAUUUCCCCAAGUGAUUCUGUUGUGCCCCAAGCUUCUGAGAACCAGCAUCCUACAUGCUGCUAAUCUUCUCUCUGGAUAAGGAAUCCAAAAUAUCAAAAAGGAAAUGACCUCUAAAUAGAACCAGCUACCCCUUUAAAAAUCCUCCUGUUCACUAAACAAUUCCAGUCAACAGGAGGAAAGCUCACUCGAAGGAUUGCCUUAUUUGGUGAAGUCUGGGUGGGGUUACCUGGGAGGAAAGGCUGAGAAUGAGUAAUGCAGCGUUCUGCUGGGGCAGGAGAGAAAUACCUCUUUGUCAGCAAACUCCUGUAAGUGAAGUUCGUCAAGCUGGCAGAAUUUUAGAGGCAUCUCAUUUAAAUUAGAUCUGGCCUUUGUGAUGAUUUAGUGCAAACCAAACGUAAGUAAGUUUCAUCUCAAUAAGCAUCUGUGUGUUUACCCAAAUUAUCUUGUUCCUCCAGAUUUUUUUUUUUUUGAAAUGGAGUCUCACUGU